UAUAAGUUACAAAGUGAACUUAAAUGUAUGCAUAAAUAAAAUGAAAGAAAGUAAGUCAUGACAACUACUAGUACAAUUAUGUUAAAAUUAAGUAAAUCUAGCAUAAAAUUUUAAGUAUUUGACUGUGAGCCAUGUGAUGUGCUGUUUCCUGCAAAGGAGCCAUUUUGUGAAGCACAUGUGAAGACGGUGAGAAGGGGGGGUGAAGAAACGCAUUUCUGAAACGCAACGUGAUAGAUGCUGAAAAGAGACCAGCCCUGUGGAACAAUUUAGAGAAGUUGUAAUUCUAUGCUUAAUUGUCUGCCUCUCUGAAAAUCCUGAGAAUCUGAUCAAGCACCAUCAGGAUACUCAUGGGAAUAAGGAGGAACUGGAACUGCUCACACUUAAAAUCA